UUUUAUUUAUUGCCUGAUGAAAAGGAAAUGAAAAUUUUGGCAUUUAAUAAACUCAAUGAUUGGAUUAGGUAUUCAUUUUUGCUGUGGAAUCAUAUUUGGACUUAAAUACCAGCUCUUCCUCACCAUGAUUUUUGAAGUCUUAUUUUCUCUCAUAAAAUGGGGUGAAUUAAUGUGUGCUUAUUAUAAAGAUGAAAUCAAAGAUGAAAUUAUCGGUACAUGGUUGUCAUGCAGUGGCAUUUUAAAACAGAAACACUACAAUUCCAUGGCACUGAUACCUUUAAAAGAUAUUUUCUUGUACUUGAUUUGUACUUAUUUAACAGAUUUUACAUUUGGGGAUAGUUGGUUUAUUGCACACUGACUAUCAUUUGUAAUCUGCUUUCCCAUCCUUCUGGACAUUUGAUUAUUAAUCUCUUUGGGAAAAACUUAUUAGGUGAAUUUUUAAAAAUAUGUUUUAUUGUCAUUUAUUAUAGGAUUGCAUAAACCAAAGUUCCUGAAAGGAAGCUCAUAAAAGAAAAUCUCAAUGUAAACAGCUUAAAUCGGAUAUAUGCGGAGUGGAAAGAGCCUUGAGAAUAGUAUGAAAUAAACUGCACUAUAUUUUUUUGUCCAAGUUCAAAGUAAAAUAGAAAAAUUUAUACAAAUUAUCAGAGCUGAGCAACAAUGUGCAAUUUUCAUGGACAGAAGACUCAAAAGAGGGUUAAUGUGUAAUUGAACUUGUAUUUGUGUGUAUUUGUAAUUUAAAGGGUUUUUUUUCAGGACACAGAAAUAAGAACUGUACCCUAAAACUACUUUUAGAAUAGAGAGCUGAAACUAUAGAAUUUGAAAAGAAAAUUACACUGUAAAUUCUGCUCAGGACAUCUGUGAAGCUCUUUGGAGUUAUAGAAACUGCCCACACAUGAGUUUGGGGAAAAAAAAGUUUGAUUUAAAACAGCCUUGGAAAAAUAAAACAUCUAGCAGAGACCUUGGCAUUGAAUUAAGUGCCUCUCUGCACUGCCACCAGCUGAAGCAGUUCUAGCACAUGAAGUGGUAUUAGAUGAUCCUUCUUGCUCCGUAUAUUUUGUUUUAUUGCACUUGAGUAGUUAUUGGGUGUGAGCAGCUUAUUGAGAGUAUUUAGGAGAAUGCUUUCAGAUGUUUUUUGACCAUGUUAACAUUUUAAUAAAGGAUUUGUCAAAUUCUUCAUUUAUUUCUGGGAGAAUAAAUUUUCAGGGCCUAAUAUAGUCCUCGAUCAUGGGGGUGUAGUGAGCUAUCAAAACUAAAAGGUGUUCUAAGUAGAUUUUUAUCUUUAUAUUCUUCAAUCACAAUAGUUUAGCUAAUGUGAAUUUCAACUCAGUCUCAAGACCACAUGUGUACCACAUAAGUGUUUUAUAGGAUGCUUAUCCUCAACUCCUGAUAUAUCCCAUUUUAAAAAUGUUUCCUCCCCAGAAAAAUCUGCAGCAUGUCUAGCUCUGUGCCAAACCCUAUAAAUGUGUGAGAGUGACAAGCAGAAAUCUCAAGUGCCCCUCAAGAUACUGGUUUAAUUUUUAACUGAUUGUCCUAAAAGCAUGAUUAAUUUUACUUACGUAGCAAGCAGAUGUGAGAAAAGUCUUAAAGCUGGAAUUUUUGUUGUUGUUGUUCUCCUGACAUGAACUUGUCCAAGCCACUCAGGUUAUUUUUUAUUUUUACGUACUUUGUAAUGAAACGGUAUAGUCUUUAUUUUUGUCUACCCUAAUUAAUAAAAGGCUAAUAUGCAAAUCGACCAAAUGGCAAACGACCGGUCGCUAUGAUGUGCACUGACCACCGGGGGCAGGCGCUCAACAUAGAGCUGCCCCCUGGUGAUCAGUGCACUCCCACAGGGGGAGUGCCUCUCAGCCAGAAGCCGGGCUCAUGGCUGGCAAGAGCAGCAGCGGUGGCGGGAGCCUUUCCCACCUCCGUGGCAGCGGACAUCCCCCGAGGGCACAGGCCAGGCUGAGGGACCUCCCCCCACCCCCAAGUACACGAAUCUCGUGCACUGGGCCUCUAGUUAUAAAGUAAAAUCUGACAGUGUGUGAAGAGUGAGAAAGAUUUGGUGCUAAGAUAAAGAAUCACUCUGCCUGCUGUAUAUUUCAGAGUUUAUAAUAUGCUAAGUUAGAAUGCUUUCUUGUAUUCUGCAUCAGCGAUCGUGAUACUGUCCUAACUAGUCAAGAGUCAUGCUUCCCUUCAAGUGCCAUAUCCUGUCACAACGGAUUCAAAGUACUUAGCUAUGCAGACCACCACCUCAUAGCUUUCCUCAUACCUCGUAUGUUCUUAUAUCACUUGGAUUAUAGGGGGAAAGCCGUCAAGCUAUUUUUAAGCACCUGAGUAUACUAAUACCUGCCCCUCUUUAGUCAGACUGGCCUUUGGUCAGUUUACCUUGAUAUGUUCUACAAGCACUCAUUGGAGAUCCAAGGCCCAUGGACUUUGCAGAACUCCUUGACGGCUAUGGAAGGUGGUUUCCUCUGUGGAGCAUUCCUUUUUGAUGAAGGUGGAGAAGAAUAGAAUGUACUUUUGGAGAAAAUAGAGGACUUCCCUUGCCCUUCUUACCUCUUCUGAUUUCAUUCUAGUACUUCUUUUCCUCCCCAUUUUUUUCUGAAGUUUUCAGUUCUUUCCUUGCAGAAUAUUUUACAGGCAGGGUAAAUAUGCUAAACUAUCUGAUCGUGGCUAAAAUGAUAUUUCUCUCUAAAGGAUUAAUUUGUACUGAUUACUUUGGCCAAAAGCCCACUGCAGGAAGAAAGAUGGGCAGGUGGGACAUGAAAUAUAAUCACUUCCAUAAUCGCAUGGAUGAACUAGUUGUCAAACCUCAAGGAUAUUUUGGGUGGAAUGUGAUUUCUAAAGAUAAACUUCUGACCAUGAUCAUCUUUAAUAAAUCUGGACCAGCUCCUACAGGGCUUGAAAGGGAGACCAUCCACAGAAGCGGAGUGCCUCCUUGAAAACCUAGUCCUCGCCGAAACCGAUUUGGCUCAGUGGAUAGAGUGUCGGCCUGCGGACUGAGAGGUCCCAGGUUCGAUUCCGGUCAAGGGCAUGUACCGGGGUUGUGGGCACAUCCCCAGUAGGAGAUGUGCAGGAGGCAGCUGAUCGAUGUUUCUCUCUCAUCGAUGUUUCUAACUAUCUCUCUCCCUUCCUCUCUAUAAAAGAUCAAUAAAAUAUAUUUAAAACAAACAAAAAAAAGAAAACCUAGUUCUUUCUAUUUUGUGGCUUAAUAGGCCUUAGCCAACUAAAAUGGUACCUGGUCUCCAUAGACCCAGAAACUCCCUUAAGCCUUACACUAUUGCAGCCUUCCAUCACUUCUCAGCUGUGUGGCCUUGGUCAGGUUACAUAACAAGAGGUGUUUUGAACCCAAUUUUUCAUCUGCAGUAUGAGUGUGCCAUCCACUUCACAGGGUUCAUCAACCAGUGCAGCAUCUGCUAGGCACCGGAUACUUGUAGCUGCAGGGAAUAUACCAGUAUGAUUAAGAGUAGGACAGUCUAGUUAUCCUUGAUCAUGGAAUGUGCAUAUUAAUGGGAGAAAGCAGACAAGAAAACCAAAUGAAAUAUUUCAGAUGGUAAAAUGUACUGGGGGGGAAAAGAGUGGUGAGACAAAAAUGGGUGAGGAUUACCUCUUUAGAUAGUGUAGUCAAAGAGGGCCUCAUGGUGUUUGAGCUGAAACCUGAGUAAUGAAGUGAAGCUGACUGUAGGGCACAGUGCUGCAGGCCCAGGUAUUGUGCUGGGCUGCGUUAUCUGGCGCUUCGGCCAGACAGGGCGCUCUGUGCUUUCUGUUCCUAAAACACAUAGAUAGGAAUGUGCUGACAUCAGGCCAGGCCUUGAGAUAUGGUCUCAUGGCCCCUUCCCAGCAUGCUGUACUCUCUGUUCCUAGAACACAUAGAUAGGAAGGUAGUCACUGUAAUGAUGCUGUACUGUGUUGGGAACUAAGGUUUUGUAACUUUGUGGUUUUUGCAAAUAAAAACGCUGUAACUCCUGCAGUUAGCGCUGCAGUUCAGCCUCUGCUGCAGCAGGGUGCUGUAACUGUAGUCGCUGGCCAGCUUAAUAAAGGCUCCUAAAUUUUGA